rnacentral:lncRNA from 10 species
CGAGCCUCCUGUGUCACGUGUUGACACCCACCACACCUGGAACCCUGCCAGCGUUCCCAGGAGCCGCAGGACCCCAGAGAUGUUCCCAGCUGCAUGAUCCCGGGCAUCAGCUGAGGGGUCUGUGUGACCCGUAUCUUGUGUGACCUGUAUCUUAUGCCGACCUCCUAUCUCAUCCAGUGACCAAGAAUGCCUAACCUCCUGAGAACGCAGCCCACAGUCUCAUGCUCAGAUGUCUCUGCUUGGGGAAACCAUGUUGUGAGCAAACCAACAGUGGGGGCCGUGUGGAGAGGAAGCCUCCUGCCAACGCCUUGCAAGUGAGCUUGCAAGUGGAUCCUCCAGCCCGAUGUCAAGAAUUCAGAGAGUAUGGCCUCAGCCAACAGCCUGAGAAACCCUGGCCCAGACCAUCCAGCCGGGUCAUCGCAGAUUCCCAACCCUCAGACAGCAUAUAAGAAAAUAAAUAUUUGCUCCUUUAAGCAGCUAAUUUUGCAGUAAUUUGUUAUACAGCAAUAGAUAACCAACACAGACCUCAGCCAGUCUAGUAUUGUCUACUGGGGCACUAUCUUUCUUCCUUGGUCUGAUAUCCCUAGUCUGUUUCUAAUUUUUUUGGUUUUUUUUUUUUUUUUGGUUUUUUGAGGCUCACUGCAGCCUUGAACUCCUGGGCGGACUCAAGCAAUCCUCCUGCCUUAGCCUCCCACACAGCUUGAACGACAGAUGCAUGCCACAAUAGCUGGCAAAUUUUAAGAAUUUUGCUAUUGAGAUGGGGGUCUCAACAUCUUGACCAGGCUGGUCUCAAACUGCUGGUCUGAAGCCAUCCUCCUGCCUUGGCCUCCCAAAGCUCUGGGAUUACAGGCACAAGCCACCAUGCCCAGUUUGUUUCUGGUCUUUUUUGAGGUGUGAUUUUCUUUCUCUUUUAAGACCCUGCCUCACCUGUGGGACCUGGCUGAUUUUCUUUUUUUCUUUUUUUUUUUUUUUUGAGACGGAGUUUGGCUCUGUCGCCUAAGCUGGAGUGCAGUGGCGUGAUCUCCUCUCACUGCACCCUCCACCUCCCAGGUUCAAGCAAUUAUCCUGCCUCGGCCUCCCGAGUAGCUGGGACUACAGGCCCACGCUGCCACGCCCGGCUAAUUUUUUGUAUUUUAGUAGAGAUGGGGGUUCACCGUGUUGCUCAGGCUGGUCGCGAACUCCUGAGCUCAGGCAAUCCGCCCACCUCGGCCUUCCAAAGUGCUGGGAUUACAGGCGUGAGCCACUGCGCCUGGCCGGUUGAUUAUUUUUUCUUAACUUUGACCUUUUGCUUUUCUCCUCCGCUAGGAUCCAGCCUCUCCCCUUGGUUGUUGCAGUCCCUGACUGAGGCUUUACAGCCUAGCGCAGACUCCUCGGUUCUCUCCAGCCCCAGAAUAGGAAUUCAGUUCUAGGCUGUGGAUUUCAAAUGUCAGAUAGCCAUUGGUGUCGACGUCUCUUGAUUAAUAUUUUAAAUACGAAAACAAGGCAAAAAAUUUCCCAGGGGAAAAUACUGCGUUUUUGAAUGUGUGUUUUUGAAUAUUCUUACUAUUAAUAAUAUCAUUGUCAUAUUUUAACCUUUCACUUGAGGAACAUAAGGAUUAUAAGAACAUGUAGAAGCAUGGAGGAGAUUUAGGAAAUCUGACUUAUACCUGAUAAAAAUGAGGCCCCUGAGGUUAUGUGAAGUUCCCAAGGUCACUCAGCGCUACGAAAGAGCAUUUCAGUGGAACAAGUAUGUCAAGGAUAAUGGAAGCUGAGAAAGGAUCUUUUGGGGAGGUGGGUGGGGCUUCCCUGAGGACGGCUAUCAUGCCUUUCUGUAUGAGUGAGUCCUAGUCCAGUUACCACAGGCUGGACACCGAAUGCAAUGAAGCAGCGAUAUGACUCGAGAUGCUGUUUCUUAUGUUUUUAUGUUACUUUUAGGUAUGACACAAAGUCUGGAUCAAAUAGCAGCUACUUGGCUGGGCACAGUAGCUCACGCCUGUAAUCCCAGUAAUUUGGGAGGCCGAGGCGGGUGGAUCACCUGAGGUCAGGAGUUCGAGACCAGCCUGGCCAACAUGGCAAAACUCCUUCUCUACUAAAAAUACAGAAAUCAGCCGGCCGUGGUGGCAGGCCUCUGUAAUCCCACCUACUGGGGAGGCUGAGGCAGGAGGAUCGCUUGAACCAGGGAGGCAGAGACUGCUGUGAGCUGAGAUCGCGCCACUGCACUACAGCCUGGGUUACAGAGCGAGACUCUGCAUCCAAAA